AAAGGGGGUAACACCCCAUACUCCAUUUCAUUCGUCUCUCCACGCCAAACACACCCUACUCCCUCUCCUUCACUGAACCCUAGCUGCCACCCCCCUUCAUUCUCUCUCCUCUGAGAUGGAUUGCUAAAAAUGGAGAAAACACAGAGUCCACAAGCUUUUCUCAGUCUGUGCAUAGCCAAAUCAGGAAGCAUUUAUUGCGAAUAAGUCUCUCUCCACUCCUUCUCACCAAAAACAACCUAAGAGAGAUAAUUCUCACCCUUCUCUCUCUUAUUUUCCAUUUUUUCGGUUUGAAUCAAGUAUAUAAUGCAUUAAUGACCGUUGUUUUAAACUGCUUCAACCCUCGAAUCUCAUUGGUUCUUCAUGAACCAACCGGAUCGAGGGAAUAAGCUUAGAAAUCAUGCAUUCAUUUCAAUUUUGGGACGAUUUGAGUCAUUCAUUAUGAGAACCAGGUGUAUUUUUUAAAAAUUUCACCUAUCCCACAUCGAUUGGGGAAUUAGGGUUUGGGAAUUUUGGGGUUCUAUAAUAGAACCCUCAUUUAAUUGAAAAAAAAACAAGUUUGGAACAUAGGGAUACAGCGCCAAAAACCUGAGUUUUGAGCUUUCAUACUCAAAAUUGGGGUUCCUAGUCUAAAAGUUUCAACUUAGCCUCUUAGGUUGAGUUUUAAGUUCAAGAUUUUAAUUUAAUUUGCAAGUAUGGCUAAAUUUGAUUUUGGAAGCACAAAGGAGGCUCCAAGUCCAUUCUUGCUUCGGUUGCACUCAAAAAAGGUCGGUCCAAACCAAACCCGUUGAGCUACGGCCCAACAGUGUCAAUUCUUUCAUAACAUAAAUGAGUCCAACGGAGAGAAAGGGAAGCAAAUAUUGAAGAUGCGUAAAAGGCCCAACCAUGGGUAAAAAUGGUUAACUAGGGGCUUGGUACGCCUCUAGCUUAACUCAUCUUUUAUUUACAUAUUUAUAUUUAGAUAUUGUAUUGUAUUUGUUUGUAAAACAUUUGUAUUUAUUGGAAUCCUUUACGGUUA